rnacentral:lncRNA from 1 species
GUGUCCGAGUUUGGGGUCCGAACUUCUCGUUACUUUGAGGAAGUCUAUUUUCUCCUGCUAGCGUUGGGUUCCCCCUUAGAGACUGAGGAUUUUUGAUAAGAGUUUUUUUCCUCGUUGAGACGAGGUUCCUUAUGUCUUAGAUGUAGUUCAUUUUUUCCUUAUCUCUAGUGUAGCUCGUCGCUUUCCUUUUUUCUCUCUCCUUUUCUUUAUGUUUGGGCGAGGGUUUUUUCUCUGCUCCUAACGGGGUUGUAGGGAUGUAGAGGAGCCGCUGAGGGGGCUCUUC